rnacentral:rRNA from 1 species
AUGGGAUCCUUGGGCCCUGCCGUGAGCGUGAGCAUGGCCAAGGCCAACGGCGGCAAGGUGGCCGUCGGCGGCCAGAAGCAGCAGCAGAGCGGCACGUUCAGCUGCGGCUUCCAGAUGCCGCUGCACUACCCGCGGUACAGGAAGGCGGACUACGAGGCGAUGCCGGAGUGGCGCGUCGACUGCCUGCUCCGAGAGUACGGCCUCCCUGUCACAGGCGACAUCGAGGAAAAGAGGAGGUUCGCCAUGGGCGCCUUGCUCUGGCCCGGCCAGUAUUGA